rnacentral:rRNA from 1 species
UACGUAGGGGGCGAGCGUUGUCCGGAUUUAUUGGUCGUAAAGAGCGUGUAGGCGGCCAGGUAGGUCUGCUGUGAAAACUCGAGGCUCAACCUCGAGACGUCGGCGGAAACCAUCUGGCUAGAGUCCGGAAGAGGAGAGUGGAAUUCCUGGUGUAGCGGUGAAAUGCGCAGAUAUCAGGAAGAACACCCGUGGCGAAGGCGGCUCUCUGGGACGGUACUGACGCUGAGACGCGAAAGCGUGGGGAGCGAACAGG